rnacentral:rRNA from 1 species
GACGAACGCUGGCGGCGUGCUUAACACAUGCAAGUCGAACGGAAAGGCCCUGCUUUUGUGGGGUGCUCGAGUGGCGAACGGGUGAGUAACACGUGAGUAACCUGCCCUUGACUUUGGGAUAACUUCAGGAAACUGGGGCUAAUACCGGAUAGGAGCUCCUGCUGCAUGGUGGGGGUUGGAAAGAUUCGGCGGUUGGGGAUGGACUCGCGGCUUAUCAGCUUGUUGGGGGGGUAGUGGCUUACCAAGGCUUUGACGGGUAGCCGGCCUGAGAGGGUGACCGGCCACCAUGGUACUGCGAUACGGCCCAGACUCCUACGGGAGGCAGCGGUGGGGAACAUUGCACAAUGGGCGGAAGCCUGAUGCGGCAGCGCCGCGUGCGGGAUGCCGGCUUUCGGGUUGUAAACCGCUUUCGCCUGUGACGAAGCGUGAGUGACGGUACUGGGUAAAGAAGCACCGGCUAACUACGUG